rnacentral:tRNA from 1 species
UGUUGGGUGGUGAAAUUUUGGCAGACACACCUCCUUGUCCCGGUGGCGGAGAUCAUAGGAAACCUUCGGGCUAACUACUCUGUGGAGGUUCGAAUCCUUCCCCAACAG